rnacentral:lncRNA from 1 species
AAAUAAAAAGAGUGUGGGUUUGUGAGUAAAACUGUGGAUCGUAAUGGAAUAAUAAAAAGUGGAAGUGCAUGGCUACUAUCAGAGGUGUAAAAAGUAAAUUACAGUCCAGCCCAAACCAAAAGAAAGUGGUGAUGCAAUGAAUGAAAAUUGUGGUGUGCCGAGUCAACGAAUCUAGCGUGGGUGUAUGAAGUAAAAGUAACAAACAGUGAGGUGUGCGCAUGGGGUGCCAAAAGUAGUAUAGGUUCAAUCCAAUUAUUAGAACAAGGGAUACAGAGGAAUUGAGGGUUGAGAUGGAAAAAUGGUGGUACCAAAAGUAAAAUGAAUUGAUUAAUAAUUGUUGUUUUAAAAAAAGUGCCCAACCUUUUUUUCAUUCUUUUCUUCUUUUGUUUCUCUCCUUGUUUUUUUCUUUAUAUUCUCAUUCUCCUUUUUUUUAUUUUGUCUUUCUUCAUUCUUUUUUAAUUUAAUUUUCAAACUUUUCUUUAAAAGUGAU